AUGAUGCUUGCCCAUGCUACCGGACGGUUAAAUCAGACCGCGCCUAUUCAGACAGUUGUUUGCAUUCCCUUCAUGGGUGGUGUGCUCGAGCUCGGGACGUCGGAUUUGGUNNNNNNNNNNNNNNNNNNNNNNNACCAGAUCGGCACAUCUUUCUGGGAGCUACCCUUCUCGGCAUGCUCGGAGUCUGAGGUGCCAAGCUCUAGUCCAUCGACAAACGAAACAGGGAACGGGGAGGUAGACAUCGUCAUGUUAGAAGACCUCGAUCACAAUGUCGUCGAUGGGAUGAUCUCUAAGCUUGGGGAGGUCGAGUGCAUGUCCGACAUCAACCUCGAUCAUGUCUCUGAGGAAGUGGACAAGUUCUAUGGCCUCAUCAAGGAGUUGGACAUGCGUUCUCUUGAGGACAACUGGGUCAUGGAAAGGUCAUUUGAGUACAUGUCUUCCUUGGAAAUGGCACCAGACAUGGAUGCACCAAGCAUUGACGAUGCCGUCAUCACUUUAAGUAGCUUUGUUAAAGGCUCUCAUCCAUCAUGUUUUACGGUGUGGAAGAGGUCAUCUGACUGGGAACACGUGGUUGCGCGGGUCACCGGGGAGUCACAAAAGUUGUUGAAGAAAGCUGUAGCCGGUGGUGCAUGGAUAGCGAGACCUCAAGAAAGUAACAUCAAGACACAUGUCCUGUCGGAAAGAAGGCGUCGGGAGAAGCUCAAUGAUAUGUUCCUAGUUCUCAAGUCAAUGAUCCCGUCCAUUAACAAGAUGGACAAAGCAUCCAUCCUUGCAGAAACUAUAACUUAUCUCAGAGAGCUAGAACAGAGGGUAGAAGAGCUACAAUCUAGCAGGACACCAUCAUUGCGCCCGAACGAAGCACCAGGACAAGGGCUCCAUGAGGUUGUCGGCAAGAAGAAGAUCAAGCUAUCAACUAGAUCCAAGAGGAAGGCGCUAGAGAUGGAGAGGGAGGAUGACGAUUGCCCAAACAAUGUCGUUAAUGUGACCGUGAUGGAGAAGGAGGUGCUCUUGGAGGUUCAGUGCCGAUGGAAGGAGUUGUUGAUGACACGGGUGUUCGACGUUAUCAAGAGCCUCCGCCUGGACAUCGUCUCUAUGCACGCAUCCACACCAGAAGGUCAUCUUGAUCUCAAGAUACGAGCUACUCAGCAGUUUGCAGUCGGUUAUGCUGCCAUUGCACCUGGGAUGAUCACUGAAGCACUUCAGAAAGCUAUAUGCAACCGCUAA
rnacentral:rRNA from 1 species